UCCCUGGUGGUCCAGUGGCUAAGAUGCCAUGCUCCCAAUGCAGGGGGCCCAGGUUCGAUCCCUGGUCAGGGAA
rnacentral:tRNA from 1 species